AUUGAACGCUGGCGGCAGGCCUAACACAUGCAAGUCGAACGGCUGAAGAGUGAUUGCUCCUUCAUUCGGGGGCCGAGUGGUGGAUGGUGCCUGAAUACCUGCGUGGUUGUUGUGUAUAGGGGGAUAACGUGGGGGCUCAUACGGUAUAAGCCCUUACGGCGUAAGGGUGUGAUCUUGGGAUCUUACGCUCUUAGAUGAUCGAAGGUGGCGAUGUCGAGUUAGCUAGUUGGAGGGGUAAAGGCGCAACAAUGCGACGAUCCGUAGCUGGUCUGAGAGGAUGAUCAGCCACACUGGAACUGAGACACGGUCCAGACUCCUACGGGAGGCAGCAGUGGGGAAUAUUGGACAAAGGGCGCAAGCCUGAUCCAGCCAUACCGCGUGGGUGAAGAAGGCCUUCGGGUUGUAAAGCCCUUUUGUUGGGAAAGAAAAGCAGCAGGUUAAUACCCCGCUGUUCUGACGGUACCCAAAGAAUAAGCACCGGCUAACUUCGUG
rnacentral:rRNA from 1 species